UACGUAGGGAGCAAGCGUUGUCCGGAAUCAUUGGGCGUAAAGCGCGCGUAGGUGGCUUCGUAAGUCCGUUGUGAAAGUCAAAGGCUCAACCUUUGAAUGCCGAUGGAUACUGCGGAGCUAGAGUACGGAAGAGGCGAGUGGAAUUCCUGGUGUAGCGGUGGAAUGCGCAGAUAUCAGGAAGAACACCGAUGGCGAAGGCAGUUCUCUGGGCCGUAACUGACGCUGAGGAGCGAAAGCGUGGGGAGCGAACAGG
rnacentral:rRNA from 1 species